GCCCCGUUUGAAGCGUCCCAGCCAGGUACUCGUGUUGCCCUUCGGCUGCCUAUUUCGCUUCUGGGAAAGCUUCCCAAAUGGCUUCUUAGAAGCUGCAGGAAGUUGCCAAUGUCACCAUUUCCCAAUACACCAGAGGACACUCUCCAAAUCAAUUGCACUGAGGUACAUGCAAAAGAGAAAUCCUUGCAUGAUCCCUGCAAGCUUUCGCUGCAAAAGCUGAGAUUAGAUUACCACUGUACUAUCUGUGGUGAAUUCAGCUGCUGCUCGUCCCACAUUUGCUUCCAUUACUGAGAGCAUGGAUUGCAAACUUCCACAGCAAAUAAUCACAGGGGCCUCCAAAACCCUGAAAACCAAAUUAGCAUCACCAAAAGGCAGGAGAAUCAUACCACUGCUUUGAGGCAUUCUGUUGAGAGCUUUACAUCUGAUGCUGGCAGGUACCUUACUAAUUCCCUUACUGGAUACCCUCAGUUGGACGAGAGAGCGGCAGAGAGACAGAGAUGACCACAGGACUGCAUUAAAAGCUUAACAGUCUGCACUGGA